rnacentral:rRNA from 1 species
GGCGAACGGGGGAGUAAUACAUCGGAACGUACCCUUGGGUGUGGGAUAACGCAGCGAAAGUUGCGCUAAUACCGCAUAUUCUCCGAGGAGGAAAGCAGGGGACCCGAAAGGGCCUUGCGCUCAAGGAGCGGCCGAUGUCCGAUUAGCUAGUUGGCGAGGUAAGGGCUCACCAAGGCAACGAUCGGUAGCUGGUCUGAGAGGAUGAUCAGCCACACUGGGACUGAGACACGGCCCAGACUCCUACGGGAGGCAGCAGUGGGGAAUUUUGGACAAUGGGCGAAAGCCUGAUCCAGCCAUGCCGCGUGAGUGAAGAAGGCCUUCGGGUUGUAAAGCUCUUUCAGAGGGAAAGAAACGGGCGAGCCUAAUAUGCUCGCUUAAUGACGGUACCCUAAGAAGAAGCACCGGCUAACUACGUGCCAGCAGCCGCGGUAAUACGUAGGGUGCAAGCGUUAAUCGGAAUUACUGGGCGUAAAGAGUGCGCAGGCGGCUUGUUAAGUCAGAUGUGAAAGCCCCGGGCUCAACCUGGGAAUUGCGUUUGAAACUGGCAGACUAGAGUUCGGACGAGGGGGGUAGAAUUCCACGUGUAGCAGUGAAAUGCAUAGAUAUGUGGAGGAAUACCGAUGGCGAAGGCAGCCCCCUGGGCCAGAACUGACGCUCAUGCACGAAAGCAUGGGGAGCAAACAGGAUUAGAUACCCUGGUAGUCCAUGCCCUAAACGAUGUCAACUAGUUGUUGGGGGAGUCUGUCCCACAGUAACGUAGCUAACGCGUGAAGUUGACCGCCUGGGGAGUACGGCCGCAAGGCUAAAACUCAAAGGAAUUGACGGGGACCCGCACAAGCGGUGGAUUAUGUGGAUUAAUUCGAGGCAACGCGAAAAACCUUACCUACCCUUGACAUGUGAGGAAUCUGGGGGAAACUUCAGAGUGCCCGAAAGGGAACCUCAACACAGGUGCUGCAUGGCUGUCGUCAGCUCGUGUCGUGAGAUGUUGGGUUAAGUCCCGCAACGAGCGCAACCCUUGCCAUUAGUUGCUACGAAAGAGCACUCUAAUGGGACUGCCGGUGACAAACCGGAGGAAGGUGGGGAUGACGUCAAGUCCUCAUGGCCCUUAUGGGUAGGGCUUCACACGUAAUACAAUGGCCAGUACAGAGGGUUGCCAACCCGCGAGGGGGAGCUAAUCCCAGAAAGCUGGUCGUAGUCCGGAUUGCAGUCUGCAACUCGACUGCAUGAAGUCGGAAUCGCUAGUAAUCGCGGAUCAGCACGUCGCGGUGAAUACGUUCCCGGGUCUUGUACACACCGCCCGUCACACCAUGGGAGUCGGCUAUACCAGAAGUAGGUAGCCAAACCGAAAGGAGGGCGCCUCCCACGGUGUGGUCGAUGACUGGGGUGAAGUCGGAACAAGGUA